CCUAGGGCUGCCAUAACAAUACCGCAGAUGAGACAGCUUCAACAACAGACAUUUAUUUUCUCACCGUUCUGGAGGCUGGAAGUCCGAGAUCAAGACUGGCUGAUUCGGUUUCUGUUGCAGGGCAUGUGACAGACCCAGGAGAGAGACAGAGCCUCGGGAGCGAGUCCCUGCAGCUCCGCGGAGGCGCUGGAGAGGCAGUGACAGGAAGAGCCCGGCAGACGGCUCUGUGGUAUUUUCAUCAACACGACAGCCUCCUGGGCACGUACACCCUUCGGAAGCCG